GCUAUUGGAGUUCGAUUAAGCCAUGCGAGUCGAGAGUCUUAGGGACUCGGCGUACCGCUCAGUAACACGUGGGUAACCUGCCCUAUGCUGGGGAAUAACCUCGGGAAACUGAGAAUAAUGCCCCAUAGUCCACAAUGCCUGGAACGGUUUGUGGAUCAAAGCUCCGGCGGCAUAGGAUGGGCCUGCGGCGUAUCAGGUUGUAGGGGGUGUAACGUACCCUCUAGCCAUCAACGCGUACGGGUGUUGGGAGACAUAGCCCGGAGAUGGAUUCUGAGACACAAAUCCAGACCCUACGGGGUGCAGCAGGCGCGAAAACUUGGCAAUGCGAGAAAUCGUGACCAGGGAACUCCAAGUGGCUGGGGUAAGACCCAGUCUUUUCUUGACUCUUCAAAGGUCUUGGAAUAAGGGGUGGGUAAGGACGGUGCCAGCCGCCGCGGUAAUACCGGCGCCUCAAGUGGUAGUCGAUUUUAUUGGGCCUAAAACGUCCGUAGCCUGUUUGGUACAUUCGUGGGUAAAUCAACCAGCUCAACUGGUUGAAUUCUGCGAGCACGGCCAGACUUGGGACCGGGAGAGGUGUGGGGUACGCUCAGGGUAGGGGUAAAAUCCUGUCAUCCUGAGCGGACCACCUGUUGCGAAGGCGCCACACUAGAACGGAUCCGACGGUCAGGGACGAAGCCUAGGGGCACGAACCGGAUUAGAUACCCGGGUAGUCCUAGGUGUAAACGCUGUGGACUUGGUGUUGGGGACUCUCCGAGAUUCCUCAGUGCCGAAGCGAAGGUGAUAAGUCCACUGCCUGGGGAGUACGGUCGCAAGGCUGAAACUUAAAGGAAUUGGCGGGGGAGCACCGC
rnacentral:rRNA from 1 species